UACGUAGGGUGCAAGCGUUGUCCGGAAUUAUUGGGCGUAAAGAGCUCGUAGGCGGUCUGUCGCGUCGGAUGUGAAAACCCAGGGCUCAACCCUGGGCCUGCAUUCGAUACGGGCAGACUAGAGUUCGGUAGGGGAGACUGGAAUUCCUGGUGUAGCGGUGAAAUGCGCAGAUAUCAGGAGGAACACCGGUGGCGAAGGCGGAUCUCUGGGCCAUUACUGACGCUGAGGAGUGAAAGCGUGGGGAGCGAACAGG
rnacentral:rRNA from 1 species